UAGGGAAUCUUCGGCAAUGGACGAAAGUCUGACCGAGCAACGCCGCGUGAGUGAAGAAGGUUUUCGGAUCGUAAAACUCUGUUGUUAGAGAAGAACAAGGACGUUAGUAACUGAACGUCCCCUGACGGUAUCUAACCAGAAAGCCACGGCUAACUACGUGCCAGCAGCCGCGGUAAUACGUAGGUGGCAAGCGUUGUCCGGAUUUAUUGGGCGUAAAGCGAGCGCAGGCGGUUUCUUAAGUCUGAUGUGAAAGCCCCCGGCUCAACCGGGGAGGGUCAUUGGAAACUGGGAGACUUGAGUGCAGAGGAGGAGAGUGUAAUUCCAUGUGUGGCGGUAAAAUGAGUAGAUAUAUGGAGGAACACCAGUGGCGAAGGCGGCUAUCUGGUCUGUAACUGACGCUGAGGCUCGAAAGCGUGGGGAGCAAACAGG
rnacentral:rRNA from 1 species